GAUGAACGCUGGCGGCGUGCCUAAUACAUGCAAGUCGAGCGAACAGACGAGGAGCUUGCUCCUCUGACGUUAGCGGCGGACGGGUGAGUAACACGUGGAUAACCUACCUAUAAGACUGGGAUAACUUCGGGAAACCGGAGCUAAUACCGGAUAAUAUAUUGAACCGCAUGGUUCAAUAGUGAAAGACGGUUUUGCUGUCACUUAUAGAUGGAUCCGCGCCGCAUUAGCUAGUUGGUAAGGUAACGGCUUACCAAGGCAACGAUGCGUAGCCGACCUGAGAGGGUGAUCGGCCACACUGGAACGUAGACACGGUCCAGGCUCCUACGGGAGGCAGCAGUAGGGAAUCUUCCGCAAUGGGCGAAAGCCUGACGGAGCAACGCCGCGUGAGUGAUGAAGGUCUUCGGAUCGUAAAACUCUGUUAUUAGUGAAGAACAAAUGUGUAAGUAACUAUGCACGUCUUGACGGUACCUAAUCAGAAAGCCACGGCUAACUACGUG
rnacentral:rRNA from 1 species